rnacentral:rRNA from 1 species
UGUUGCAGUUAAAAAGCUCGUAGUUGGAUUUCUGCGGGGGCGGGGCGGCCGGAUGCUUAUAGCAUCUCGAGCUAGCACUUCCCCCGCAUCCUGCCGCGAACCGUGCUACCAUUAGUUUGGUGGCGCUGGGGAUCGGCUCGUUUACUUUGAGAAAAAUAGAGUGUUCAAAGCAGGCCGCACGCCUUGAAUAAGUUAGCAUGGAAUAAUGAUAAAGGACUUCGGUUCUAUUUUGUUGGUGUUCGGGACUGAAGUAAUGAUUGAUAGGGACAGUUGGGGCGGUCAGUAUUCCAAAGCGAGAGGUGAAAUUCUUAGACCUUCGGAAGACUAACAGCUGCGAAAGCGUUCCGCAAGGAUGUUCCCUUUGAUCAAGAACGAAAGUUGGGGGAUCGAAGACGAUCAGAUACCGUCGUAGUCUCAACUAUAAACUAUACCAGCUAGGGAUCGGCCGACGUUUACUUAUAUCGACUCGGUCGGCACCUUAUGAGAAAUCAAAGCAUCUGGGUUCC